GCGGCUAGGAACCUUCGGUUCAAUACUUCUCAAACACUUACAAAAUUGUGGAUUAAAGGAAUAAAAGGUAUUAAAUUGCGUGCUUCUCAAAUAAAUCAAUUGUCUACAGAUUUGAAGCUGUUAAUACCAUACAUACCUAAAGAAUUUUCUAGAAAACCAAGAGGUUUGGAUGAAUUGGAUCGCAUACUGUAUUUAAAUAAAGACCUGCAGCAUCCACAUCGUCAUCAAAAAAAGAGGAUUCCCUUCCCAGUGCAUGUACGACCACACUUUUAAAUCAAUAUGAAUUCGAAUUCGAUGCAAUCUUGGAAACGAGAGAAGACUUAGCAAUCUAUACGUCUCCAAUUCCAGACAAUACAGACAUGAAUUAACUGUUUCACUGGAUUUUCCGAACCAGGCUAUUUAAAUAAACACAAGUUUUUGACACAAAAAAGUAAUUCCUGUUAUGCAAAACUGAUUUAUCUAAUAAUUAUUUCAUUAACAAUUUGCAAAACUAGAACACUAGAAUUUUUAACACACAUUUUCUAAUUCUACAAACCUGUUUCAUGUGACUCGUGUAAUAUUACAUACGAAAUUAUUAUAAAUAAGAUAUUGUAUUACAGUUUCCAAACGUAAUUUUUUCAAAUAUUUUAUGUUAAUACAGAUCGAACACUUCACAAUCAACGAAGUAUGUUAUGGAUUGGGUUUUCCAUGCAAGUGACACUAAAUUUUCAUCAUUGCAAAAAAUGUAUAAUAUACCUAUUUGGACGAGUCACUCGAAUGUGAUGAAUAUGACGGAACAGUAGAAUAAAUCGUGUUAUGUUAUAUGAAAAAAUCGCAGUUUAGAAAACCAACUUGGAGAAAAGUUCCCUAGACUAAUCGGAUUUAUAAACAUGUCUAUGGAACAAUCGGAUUAUAUCGGAUUAAUACGAAAUUGUAGGAAAACGCGAAAAUUUUUCUCGUCGCAGAAUUUUGAGAAGAAAUGAAAAAAUAGAGAAACAAAUAGACCGUAACCUCACUCUGUUUCAAUCACUUAUGGUUAACGAUUACAUGCGUAUAAUCUACUACACCUAGUGUAGUAGAAGAAGCGGCAAUUACUACUGAAGCAUUCAAUCAAUUGUCUUGUACAAAUAAUGUAU